AUACAUUUGUAUCAAUUUAAUUCAUGUUUCAACUGUAAGAUUCUUUCAAAUAUUUUCUAUUAAGAAUGUAGUUGGUCUCUUAGUUUUUGUUUGAUUGUUUUAAUUUCUGAAUUAUUCAAUGGUUAUCAAACACUAGUUGUCAUAAAAAGAUUUUCGUUCAACUUAUGAUGGCAGUACAUAGAUCACUCGAUGCAUAGUGAGACAUGAAUUCACAUUUCUACCACUUCGGAAAGUAUCAAUAUCCUACAUGUAAAAUUGAUUAGAAGAUACUGAAAAUAUUAAUGGUUUUAUACAAUAUGGAAAUACAGCAGAUCACUCAAGGCUUGCUGAGACAUGACUACGCAUUCAUACCACUUGGGAAAAUAUCAUCAUCCUACGUUGAAAAUUAACUAGAAGAUACUGAUAAUUAUAUAGGUUUUAUGCAAUAUGGCAGUACAUAGAUCACUCGAUGCAUGGUGAGACAUGAAUUCACAUUUCUACCACUUCGGAAAGUAUCAAUAUCCUACAUGUAAAAUGGACUAGAAGUUACUGAAAAUAUUAAUGGUUGUAUACAAUGUACGUGUAAUGGUUA